UCCGUAGGCGGUGCGGCAAGUCGGAAGUGAAAUCUCAGGGCUUAACCCUGAGGCUGCUUCCGAAACUGCCGUGCUCGAGUGCGAGAGAGGCGAGUGGAAUUGCAGGUGUAGCGGUGAAAUGCGUAGAUAUCUGCAGGAACAUCCGAGGCGAAAGCGGCUCGCUGGAUCGCAACUGACGCUGAGGGACGAAAGCUAGGGGAGCAAAACAGGAUUAGAUACCCUGGUAGUCCUAGCCCCUAAAACGAUCAGGACUGGGCGUGGCCUCGGUACGGGCUCGUGCCGCAGCUAACGCGUUAAGUCCCUGCGCCUGGGGAGUACGGUCGCAAAGGCUAGAA
rnacentral:rRNA from 1 species